UUUUUCCAGAAUCUGAUGCCUGUUGUGCGGGAUCCUGUAUGCCGGAAUAUACACAGGCUUAACUGCAGGUUCUAGAGUGAUAGUGUCCAACCACAUGCAUUCUGAAUAAGGCAGGAAUAUGAUGAAUGUAGCACCAAAUGUGUCCCUGGUCAUACUGCAUGUUUUACUAUUGACGGCUGCCUGUCUGCCUGCUGCUUGGUCUCUACCAGAACCUCCAGACCUCGCCCACCUGGUAAAUAGACAGGGAAGGGUUAUGGAAAGUGUAGUGCUUGUCUAUACUGUCUUUUUUGUAUGUGAUUAAGCCGAGAAUAAAAACUAGCAUGUUUUA